UACGAGGGGAGCUAGCGUUAUUCGGAAUUACUGGGCGUAAAGCGCACGUAGGCGGCUUUGUAAGUAAGGGGUGAAAGCCCAGAGCUCAACUCUGGAAUUGCCUUUUAGACUGCAUCGCUUGAAUCCAGGAGAGGUGAGUGGAAUUCCGAGUGUAGAGGUGAAAUGCGCAGAUAUCGGGGAAGAACACCCGUGGCGAAGGCGGCUCUCUGGGACGGUACUGACGCUGAGACGCGAAAGCGUGGGGAGCGAACAGG
rnacentral:rRNA from 1 species